ensembl:lncRNA
UCUCCCAUUCUCUCCCUCUUCUCUCUCUCCCUCUGUCUCUCUGUCUCCCUCUCUCCUCCCCCCUCUUAUUUCGAGUACCCCCUGUGAGAAAGGUCAGUGAGGUUCCGCUUUCCCCGCCGAAGCGGAGCAAACAUUCCCGACGUCCCGUGUGUGAACCCUGGGAAUGAGCCACGGAGCGCCAGAGCACUGGCUGAAGGUUCUCACGGUCCUGACUGGACAACCAGGCGCUUCUCCACAGGCUGCCGUUGCUUGGCGUUGCAAUCAACCCCAGGUUUGUUUUUGUGUCGUUUUGGAUAACAGCAUUUGUCAAACCAAUGAAUGUAAAUUCAUGUAAAUGGGGACUGAGUCUGGGUGUGAUGUGAUUGGCUGUGAGCAUGUGUGAUGUCUGAGGUGUCUGAGGUCAUGGUGUGGUCUGUGGCUGAGGCUGAGGCUGAGGCUGAGGCUGUGGAUGUGGCUGUGGCUGUGGCUGAGGCUGAGGCUGGGGCUGUGGCUGAGGCUGGGGCUGAGGCUGAGGCUGUGGCUGAGGCUGUGGCUGAGGCUGAGGCUGAGGCUGAGGCUCACCUCGAGUGAACCUGAACUCAGCUCCUUUUGUUCCGCUGUGGUUCAGCUCCCCUGCUGAUACUCUACUCCUCACUCCCAGCAGGGAAUCACGGAGGUUGGGGCGUGGGGCUCGUUUGGUAAAGG